AUCUGGGUGAGGAAAGCGGACAUGCUCGAUGGACCGACAAGGUGGUGAAGGAUGAGCUUGUUCACUGUGUAUGAUCCAUCCAUGCCCCUUCUGUUUUGAUGUUUGUCAACACACAUUGUACUGUAUGUUUACAUGCUGUCAAUGCUCAGUGAGGUCUGUUUCAACGCUUAGCCACUAGUGUCAUGUUUCUGUCUACUGUCUUUCGUGUUAAUGCGUUUCACACUGAAUGUUUUUGACUGUUUAAUUUGGUACAGGCUCAUGUUACCAAAAUGGAGUACGGGAAGAUGAGGAAGCUCACCGACUGCAUCUUCGUCGGCAUCAAUGCCCUCGUGCAUGUCGAUGUCAUCUUCACCAGGAUCAAUGCUCUCGUGCAUGUCGAUAUCAUCGAUAUCAUCUUCAUCGGGACCGACUCCUCCAGGUUGUUGUGUCGUGCUGGAGAUGCUGCCUGCUUUGAGUUGUUGCU